GGAUGCUUCAUGAAGUCAGGGAUGUUACCCCUUCACUGCAGUAUCCCCAGCACUAGAAGGGUCCUCAGGACAAGGCAACUGCAGGCGCGAGGGGGACGCAACCCGGACAGAACCGGUCCUCCCAGGUCUCCCACCACUGCAGCCUCAGCUCUGCGCAGCCACCCAGGCUCUGCGGGACCGGCCCGCACACUUGCCGCGCCAGCCGGUGGGAACCGGACUCCGGACCCUCCCUAAGGCCCAGAACGAAGGAAAAACGAGGGGGCGGCGCCGGCUGCAGGUCAGCGCCCCGCGGUGCUCAGCGCGGCCUCUGUGCGGACCACAGCCUCAGCCAGGCCGGGUUCAGAGAACCGCACUCACCCCACUCCGGUCCCCGUCCCGCGGCCAGGACCUACUCACCCUGGGCCACUAUCCCGGACCGCGCGCAGAGGGCGCCGGGAGCAGGCGGUCCGGUUCCGGCCCGCCCCCGGAAACGGGUCUCAGCGCCGCUCUAGGAAGCUCGGAGGACCACGCGCCUCGGUGGGCGCCUUUUGGCACCUACGCCGCGAGGCUGGUGAUGGAAGAGGGCCGAUGAGGGCGGGGCGCUGUUCUGGACCUGAUCUCCCGUGAACCCCCAAAUCCGAGGGGCGAGCCCGCUGCGGGAGUCGGGGAUCCCGGCGCAGAGCCCCCAAGCCUGAGAGCAGACGCGUCCACUCGAGACCUCGAGAAAGGCCAAUGGAAAAGUCGAGCAUCAUUCCAGACAACCGGGUGCUGAGGCAGCGUCCUUUCUCUUUCAACUUUUUGUUGUUAGAUAAUUAUAAAAUCAUGCAAGUUGCAAAGGCA